GACGAACGCUGGCGGCGUGCUUAACACAUGCAAGUCGAACGGUGAAGCGCCUUCCUUUUUGGUGGGUGUGGAUGAGUGGCGAACGGGUGAGUAACACGUGAGUAACCUGCCCCCUUCUUCUGGAUAACCGCAUGAAAGUGUGGCUAAUACGGGAUAUUCUGGGUCUGUCGCAUGAUGGGUCUUGGAAAGAUAUUGUUUCGGUGGGGGAGGGGCUCGCGGCCUAUCAGCUUGUUGGUGGGGUGAUGGCCUACCAAGGCGGUGACGGGUAGCCGGCCUGAGAGGGUGGACGGUCACACUGGGACUGAGCCACGGCCAAGACUCCUACGGGAGGCAGCAGUGGGGAAUAUUGCACAAUGGGCGCAAGCCUGAUGCAGCGACGCCGCGUGAGGGAUGGAGGCCUUCGGGUUGUGAACCUCUUUCGCCAGUGAAGCAGGCCUGCCUCGUUUGUGGGUGGGUUGACAGUAGCUGGAUAAGAAGCGCCGGCUAACUACGUG
rnacentral:rRNA from 1 species